rfam:Hydnomerulius pinastri MD-312 unplaced genomic scaffold scaffold_603, whole genome shotgun sequence.
GGUGUCAUGGCAGAGUGGUUAUUGCGGAGUACUGUUAAUACUUUUUUUCAGAGGUUCAAUUCCUCUUGACGCCU